CGAAUCCGCGCGGGAGAGUCCUCAGCAGCAGUUUCGCUGGGGCGCCGAAGGAGCAAGUCCCUCCCUUGAAUCUCUCAGGUCCCCGUUACCGCGCGGGCGAG
rnacentral:ncRNA from 2 species